GAAGAAAGCAUAAACAGUACUUAGAUCCCAGUAGUGCUUAGUGUAUUUUCUACAUUGAUAUAUGUGCUUCCAUCAAAUCCUUUUCAAGUGUCUCCUUUUAUUCAUAAGGAGAAAGAAGAGUAGUUAUAAAGUUCAGUCCAAAAGGAUGCUUAAGAAACCUAGACAAGAGAUGCCAGGUCAAACUAGGGGAAGGCUGGCCUUAGUGUGUGUCUCUAGGCAGUGCUGCUCCCUUAUCUGUGGCAGCUUUAAACAUAGAGGACCCACCAGAGUCUAAGAAAAUGAGAAAGUUUAUCUUUGGUAUUUCUGAACCUCUUCCCAACCUCUUUCCCCUUGUUCCCUAAUGUACCCAGUAUCCUGCUAUUGUCUUUUCCCAAGAUACAUCUCCCUUUUAAUAACUAAAAGCUUGAUUGUGUAGUAGCAUUUCUUAAAAUGAGAUCAUCAGAGCAAACUUUAAUAUAAAGCUGUAAUGAACCAACUGCUGCUGCUGCUAAAUCACUUCAGUCGUGUCCGACUCAGUGCGACCCCAUAGACGGCAGCCCACCAGGCUCCCCCAUCCCUAGGAUUCUCUAAGCAAGAAUACUGGAGUGGGUUGCCAUUUCCUUCUCCAAUGAAUAAAAGUGAAAAGUCAAAGUGAAGUCACUCAGACAUGUCCGACUCUUACCGACCCCAUGGACUGCAGCCCACCAGGCUCCUCCAUCCCUGGGAUUUUCCAGGCAAGAGUACUGGAGUGGGGUGCCAUUGCCUUCUCCAAAUGAACCAAUUACAUGAGGACAACUUUAAAGUAUAGUUUUGUUAGCCAAAGGUGUAUUUUAUAUUUGGAUGGUAGAAUAUAUCCAGAAAUAGGGAAAGCCUACUAUUUAGUAAUUCAGUUAAAAUGUAAAUGUCAUCACAGGAUAUCUUGAUUUAUGUCUUUGAGUGUGCUUUCCUUGUACCCGGUUUUUGAAAUUUGAGAUCUGUUGUUGUCGGAUGUCAUCACGGGGACUUCCAGAGAUAAAUCCUAUUUCUCUUACUAUACUGCACACUCCUUAAAAACGUACUAUUCUAUUCCUGGUACAACAGUUUCUCACAAAAUACCUACCUUGCAUCUUUCAAGAGAAAAUAUUUGUUGGAAGAAAGUAAGGACAGGAUUCUUAUCAUUUUGAACUCAAAAGUCCCAGAUGGCCCAUAUUAUAACUCAGAUCUUAGACCUGCUCUUCCCACCAUCCUGCAAGGCCAUAUUAGCAAGUACCUGUUGGACAUCUAUAUCUUAAGCAUUUUAAGCUUUACAUGUCUAAAACUCAAUUUCCUUUCAUUCAGAUCUGCAUGUUUUCUUCUACAAUGGAGAAACACCAUUCUUGGCUCCAGAAUCUGCCUCCAAGUCUCAACAAGACCCUUUACAAUUGCCCUUGUGUCUUUUCCAUCUUCUUUGUCCUUCUGUUAUUGCAUCCACCCUAGCUCAAAUCCUUGUUACCUCUUCCCAGUGAUGGGUAUAACUUUUCUUCUAAUUCCAAUGCCUUCCCAUUUAAACACUGCCAGACCCACCUUGUUAAGCAUAGUUCCAAUUUAGUUUCAUUCCUGCUCUUUACAACCUUCACUGGCUUCUGAGUGGUUUGGCAUGAAUACUUCUGCUCAGGUAUCAUGUGGCAGCUAACCCCAACCCUCCCUUCCUCUGUUCACACCGUUUUGUCUUUUCUUAUCCUCCCCCCACCCCAUUUUUCUGCCUAUUUACCUAAGACUUCUCUAUAACAGUUGAUCCUAGCCUCUCCCCAUUCCUGCAGAUUAGAUCUAGUCUCUCCUUCCUCUAUGCUCCUGUAGCCUUUGGCUCCUACAGACUUUCUUAUGGUGCUUAUCACAUUCUAGCCUUGAGAACAGCAACUGUAUCUUGUUCGUUUGCGAUUCCUCCUCAGCACCCGGCAGAGUGCCUUGCAUUCACUGGACACUGUUGUGAAUUAAAUUCAAAUGAUCUCUUUUUUGAAUGCCUCCAAAACACAAAUAUUCUGGAGCCUAUGCCACUUCUAAUGUUUUUUUCUAAUGGAAAUUUUCUAGUUGGCUUUUUUUGUUAAGAUAAAUGUUCAGAAAGUCUCAAUAUAAAAUUCCCCCAUUUUUGAGGGGGUGGUUAGGACGAAUGGUGGCAACUUUGUUUUAUGAGUUCAUCAUAGCAUGUUAAGAACCAAUCUUGAAAUACUAUUUUUUCAAAUGACAUAAAUUUAUAGAAAC
ensembl:lncRNA